CGGGACGUCCCUGGUGCUCCGGUGCUCCAGAUCCUGGUUCAGACCUUCGCAACUGUGUAUAAGAAUCCGCCUGGGGACACGAGUUUGAUCCCUGAUCUGGGAAGAUUCCACACACCUUGGGGCGACUAAGCCUGCUCACCACAACUGCUGGGCCCGGGUGCUGAGACUCCU